GUCUCCUAGCAAAACAGAAGCUUUUUUAGAGUUAUCACUUGCUGCAGAAGAGGACAGAGCAAAGGAUCAGCACAGAAAUGCGAGUACCUCAGUGGCUUUUCUCCUUUUAUUUGCGCCAAGAUCACUGGAGGAUGAAUUCCCAGCUGCGUCUGCUGAACCGGCAGUGAGACUACAUUUAGCUCGGCCUUCUGAACCCGAGCCCCGAUGGCAUCCUUUGAAGCACCAGAGGGCGGAGUCAUUGACUGAGAUGGACCGAGGAGGCUGAUGCCACGGAAACUACCGCCGCCGCCGAAACAUGAAAGCCUUGCCGCCCGCUCGAUUAAACCCGAAUCGACGGGGAAAUGAGGUAGGCUGUGGGGGAAUUCUCCGGGAGGAGGCGAUGGAAGCAUGCCUCUGUUGGACAUGGCUACUGGUUUUCCAAUCGGUACACAGUUGAUGCCACUUGUAGCGGUCUGGAUAUUGCUUUCUCCAAAGCUCAUGGUACAUGAACUUGUGUGGUGGUUCCAGAGACCGGGAGUGAAGAAGGCCUCCACCAUUGAAGCUGAAAGAAUUGGGGAUGAAGUCAAUGGAGUCACGAAGCCGGCCGCGCCAGGACUACGGCUGCUGAUGUGAUCUCCAUGGCUCUCCUCCAACCCGAACUGGUUGUUCUCUUUCGCCUCCAUCUCCGCCUCCCAAACCUCGACGGUGAGUCUUCAGGCAGCUGGGAGAAUGAGACUUAGCCUUUCUCUGAUAUAGAAGCAAAAAAGAUUCAAACCUGCGCUUCUUCUUCUUCUUCUUCGGAUCUGACACGAUUGGAUUUCAGGCUGUCAGCUUCAAAACGAGCACCCAAAUCGGUGAUCCUUGCAUGCUAUGAUGAACAAUCAGAAGCCAGAAAGCAUGUGCAAACCCAGAGAUAAGGAGAUAGGAGAAGGAAACCCUCAAGAGGCACGAAAACCCAUGACAUUUAAGAAGCCAUCGAUUCAGAUGUCGGCAACAUCAGAAACUUACGGAAAAAGAACCUUUUAGGCCUGUUGCCAACAAUGCUAAAUCAAAGAUGCGGAUGGGAGUGCAUGUAUCGUCUGCCAAGGAUCUCCUACUCGCAGAAGAAAAGCUCAGGAAAUGGACAGAGACGACAUCAGAGCUCGGAGUACAAGAAACGCAGUCGCAAGGAGUGAAAAGACAAGGCAAGCAGAGAAUCCCCACCUAUCAGUGACCCUGAGAGGAACAAGGACAGCAGCAGCACGAGUUGCAGGCAGAAGAGCGGAGCUCAAGCCAUCCCAUCAAAGAUCGCACCUUUCCCUUGCUCAAAGCACCAGAGCGCACAAAACCCCAACAAACCCUAUCCCACGGUGUCGAAGUGGGAAAUGGAAAGGCUUAUAUCCUGCCGGUAGAGGAGGAUAGAGAGAGAAGACAUGAAGGCACAAAGACGAUGGAAAAGAGAGCUACAUGAGAGAGAGAGAGAGAGAGAGAAGAAGCGUGUCGAGUCAUUAACCACCGCCCAGAACUAUAUAGAGCUGAGAAGGAAGCAAAAGGAAAGCAGAGCACAUUCCAAUCCACCGUUUCUUUAUUCCACGAGAUGGUUCCCUUUUAACAGUUACUUUUACUUGUUUAUGGGACUGUUGAACUUUGGGUUUGUGGUUGCAUUGUGGGAUACUAAUCACAGCUUUGGGCUCUCACCCUAAUAUGCGAUUUGUAUAUUAAACAUGCGAUUUGUAUUGAGUAAAACUAGUAUUCAUCAAUUAAACAGAGGUUGAGUCUCACAAUA